rnacentral:rRNA from 1 species
AGUGAACGCUGGCGGUAGGCCUAACACAUGCAAGUCGAACGGCAGCACAAGGGAGCUUGCUCCCUGGGUGGCGAGUGGCGGACGGGUGAGGAAUACAUCGGAAUCUACCCUGUCGUGGGG